GGAGGAUCCUGAGUACGGCGGAACACGAGAAAUUCCGUCGGAAUCCGCGGGGACCAUCCCGCAAGGCUAAAUACUCCCUAGUGACCGAUAGUGAACCAGUACCGUGAGGGAAAGGUGAAAAGCACCCCGGAAGGGGAGUGAAAUAGAUCCUGAAACCGUGUGCCUACAACAAGUCAAAGCUCGUUAAUGAGUGAUGGCGUGCCUUUUGUAGAAUGAACCGGCGAGUUACGAUUGCAUGCGAGGUUAAGUCGAAGAGACGGAGCCGCAGCGAAAGCGAGUCUGAAUAGGGCGAAUGAGUAUGUAGUCGUAGACCCGAAACCAUGUGAUCUACCCAUGUCCAGGUUGAAGGUGCGGUAAAACGCACUGGAGGACCGAACCCACGUACGUUGAAAAGUGCGGGGAUGAGGUGUGGGUAGCGGAGAAAUUCCAAACGAACUUGGAGAUAGCUGGUUCUCUCCGAAAUAGCUUUAGGGCUAGCCUCGGAAUUGAGAAUGAUGGAGGUAGAGCACUGUUUGGACUAGGGGCCCAUCUCGGGUUACCGAAUUCAGAUAAACUCCGAAUGCCAUUCAUUUAUAUCCGGGAGUCAGACUGCGAGUGAUAAGAUCCGUAGUCGA
rnacentral:rRNA from 1 species